GUAUGGACUCGCCGAGAACGUGAGUACGUACUCACGUACUUGAGAAUUGAGAAACGGCCUUUGUCUGAGUUUCGGACGAAAUGCAUUCUGGGAUAUUUAGCUGUACCAAGUCCACACAAGUCACCACCGAUGCAUGCUCGAUAAAACGGGCGGAGCGAGAACACAUCUGGGACUUUUUCGCGUUCUCAGUUUGAUGCGUACUUCGAAUUGGAACAGUACUUGGUCUCCGACUGAUGACGUAUCACGAGUACACGAGAACGCAAGUACGCACAAGUACGCAUAUUGAGAAACGGCAUUAGUCUCUCACUGAACGUGCUCCUGUGAUUAGCCAGCACAUCAUGGAGUGGGUGGGAGGUAUUAUCCAGCAUUGUCUUUAUCUUGGACAACAUCCGCUUCUCAGACACCACCCUAUGUGGUCGGAUCCACAAUCCGUCUUUUACAGUGGUGCAGAAACCCAGGAUUGUGACGUGGAGGAACCGCAACCAGGCCAGCCAGGGGAGGCGCUGGCCCAAAUGGUGGCCGAGCUCACCGCCACGCGGAGGAAGCAGGUGGUGGUGUUUCGCCACCAGUGGGAACAACGGCAGGACUGGACCGAGCCCUGGAUGCAGUGGAAAGAGCAUGGAAGGAAAAUGUCCAGAUUGAGAGGUGACUGUGUGGUGGUACCUAAGACUAAAUAUGCUGAGGAUUGCAUCAUUUUGAAUAUUUCCACAAUGAACCAACAAAAAUAUGUCAAGACUUCUGAACUGAGACUGAAUUCUUGAAUUCAGUGAGGCGGGAAACGAGAGAAGGGAAGGAUGGAAAGCUGGGACCAGCGCUGACCAGACUGUGGGCUGUUGUAUAAAAACCAAAAUAAACUUGACAUCUGUGAGCACAACCAUUGUGUGCGUGGAGUGCAUUCUUCAAUCUGUAAUUGUAAACAAACAGACGGAGCCUCGUUUUCUUGGAACCACUGCUAACCAAGAAAAGAAUACAUUUUCUCAAAGCUCAGAUCUCACAGAUUCCAAAACUGCAAGUCACGCUCCAACCAAAAUCCACUGAACCAGCCACAAAGGAAGACCACAAAUAUGUUUGAUGCAUGAUAAACAAUAACGUAAAAUCAGACUUAGUGCUUUUGUUCCUUCAAUUACAGAGACAUCCAUUCUACACUACAGCUCAUUUCCUGACUAACUCAAUCUCCUACAAUGCCCCAGAGCCAUUUCCCAUUUAAAAAAUCACUAUUUUCUGCCCAGUUACAGACAUUUUAUUGGACAAGGGCAAGCGUCAUCUUCUGAUUGGUGGAACUGACCUAAACACGGUGACAUUAAUGUGAUUUUGUUGACUCAAAUGAUAAAAAGAGCGGUCAGUCAUGUAAAUUGGGCAAUAGAAGCCGAAGUUACAGAGAUUAAAGGGAAAAGAGACAUUUCCAAACCUUAAUUAGACAGAGGAAAAAACAGGCCAAAUGUACCUCAGCGUGUGGGUACUUCUUAAAUAAAAAUAAUGGAAAAACAAGCAUUUUUAGGCAUGCAAAUAAAGUUAAAUCAUUUCUGCUGUUCAAUACCUAAAAAAUUUCAACUGACAGAUGGUGCCAACAUUUGCCAAAUGGCAAAACACCUGAGUAUCUAUUCAUUAAAAGUUCUGUUCUGUAAUUUUUCACUGUUUUGAUUCAGAGGUAUGCAUCUUUGCACAGACAAUGUUUUUCCUAUGUUGAUUACUGGUUUUCUGGAGUUUAUUGUCUACUGAAGCAUAUUUUCAAAGUGGUUAUAUGAAUUAAAAUCCCAAAAUAAAGGAUAAAGGAAAAAAUCGACUUUUUCUAUGUUCCAG
ensembl:lncRNA